GCAGCACCCGAGGGUGCAGCUGGCACGGGAGAGCAGGGGGCUGGGGGGCACAGCAGCACCUGGGGGGACAGGAGGGACAGGGGGGCACAAGGGAGCGGGGACAGGGGGGACAGGGGGACGAGGGACAGAGAUGGGAGCUCAGUGCAGGCGAGGUGCCCGGAGCAUCCCCCACGGGAGCACCCAAGCAGCACAGACACCCUGGAGCAGCAGGGACACCCUGGAGCAGCAGGGACACCCUGGAGCAGCAGGGACACCCUGGAACAGCACGGACACCGUGGAUCAGCACAGACACCCUGGAGCAGCACAGACACCCUGGAGCAGCACAGACACCCUGGAGCAGCACAGACACCCUGGAGCAGCAUGGACACCUGGAACAGCACAGACACCUGGAUCAGCACAGACACCUGGAUCAGCACAGACACCCUGGAUCAGCACAGACACCCUGGAUCAGAGCAGACACCUGGAGCAGCAUGGACACCUGGAACAGCACAGACACCUGGAUCAGCACAGACACCCUGGAUCAGCACAGACACCCUGGAGCAGAGCAGACACCUGGAGCAGCAUGGACACCUGGAACAGCACAGACACCUGGAUCAGCACAGACACCCUGGAGCAGCACAGACACCCUGGAGCAGCACAGACACCCUGGAGCAGCAUGGACACCUGGAACAGCACGGACACCUGGAUCAGCACAGACACCCUGGAGCAGCACAGACACCCUGGAGCAGAGCAGACACCUGGAGCAGCACAGACACCCUUGGGCAGCACGGACACCCUUGGGCAGCACGGACACCCUGGAGCAGAGCGGACACCCUGGAGCAGCACAGACACCCUGGAGCAGCACGGACACCCUGGAGCAGCACGGACACCCUGGAGCAGCAUAGACACCUGGAGCAGAGCAGACACCCUGGAGCAGCAUAGACACCUGGAGCAGAGCAGACACCCUGGAGCAGCACAGACACCUGGAGCAGCACGGACACCCUUGGGCAGCACGGACACCCUGGAGCAGAGCAGACACCCUGGAGCUCAGCCACAGCAGGGAUGUGGCAGCCUGGCACCGCUGGGCACGGCUGGGUUUUCCAAGCCCCUGGAAGGCAUCGUGGCCAAGGGGGACAGUAACCACGAGCUGCUGCACACUCCAGGCCGGGUCCCUGCAAACACGUGGGGUUCGCCCCCCGACAGGCAGAACAGCCCUGAGCCCCCGCUGCCGAGGCUCUGUGGCACUCACAUCCUCUGGAC
rnacentral:lncRNA from 1 species